UACGAAGGGGGCUAGCGUUGUUCGGAAUUACUGGGCGUAAAGCGCACGUAGGCGGAUACUUAAGUCAGGGGUGAAAUCCCGGGGCUCAACCCCGGAACUGCCUUUGAUACUGGGUAUCUCGAGUCCGGAAGAGGUGAGUGGAAUUCCGAGUGUAGAGGUGAAAUUCGUAGAUAUUCGGAAGAACACCAGUGGCGAAGGCGGCUCACUGGACUGGUAUUGACGCUGAGGUGCGAAAGCGUGGGGAGCAAACAGG
rnacentral:rRNA from 1 species